UAGGGAAUAUUGGGCAAUGGAGGGAACUCUGACCCAGCCAUGCCGCGUGCAGGAUGAAGGCGUUAUGCGUUGUAAACUGCUUUUUAUAUAGGAAGAAAUAGUCCUUGCGAGGAAAGUUGACGGUACUAUAUGAAUAAGCACCGGCUAACUCCGUGCCAGCAGCCGCGGUAAUACGGAGGGUGCAAGCGUUGUCCGGAUUUAUUGGGUUUAAAGGGUGCGUAGGUGGCCCUGUAAGUCAGUGGUGAAAUAUCUCAGCUUAACUGAGAGGGUGCCAUUGAUACUGCAGGGCUUGAGUACAGAUGAGGUAGGCGGAAUUGACGGUGUAGCGGUGAAAUGCAUAGAUAUCGUCAAGAACACCGAUAGCGAAGGCAGCUUACCAAGCUGUAACUGACACUGAGGCACGAAAGUGUGGGGAUCAAACAGGAUUAGAUACCCCCGUAGUCCCUGAGCGGGCUGGCAAGGCGCAU
rnacentral:rRNA from 1 species